AGGACGAACGCUGGCGGCGUGCUUAACACAUGCAAGUCGAGCGGUAAGGCCUUUCGGGGUACACGAGCGGCGAACAGGUGAGUAACACGUGGGUGAUCUGCCCUGCACUCUGGGAUAAGCCUGGGAAACUGGGUCUAAUACCGGAUAUGACCUGCUCUCGCAUGGGGGUGGUGGAAAGAUUUAUCGGUGCAGGAUGGGCCCGCGGCCUAUCAGCUUGUUGGUGGGUAAUGGCCUACCAAGGCGACGAC
rnacentral:rRNA from 1 species